rnacentral:rRNA from 1 species
GAUGAACGCUAGCUACAGGCUUAACACAUGCAAGUCGAGGGGAAACGGCAUUGAGUGCUUGCACUCUUUGGACGUCGACCGGCGCACGGGUGAGUAACGCGUAUCCAACCUUCCCAUUACUGUGGGAUAACCUGCCGAAAGGCAGACUAAUACCGCAUAGUCUUCGAUGACGGCAUCAGAUUUGAAGUAAAGAUUUAUCGGUAAUGGAUGGGGAUGCGUCUGAUUAGCUUGUUGGCGGGGUAACGGCCCACCAAGGCUACGAUCAGUAGGGGUUCUGAGAGGAAGGUCCCCCACAUUGGAACUGAGACACGGUCCAAGCUCCUACGGGAGGCAGCAGUGAGGAAUAUUGGUCGAUGGACGGAAGUCUGAACCAGCCAAGUAGCGUGCAGGAUGACGGCCCUAUGGGUUGUAAACUGCUUUUGUAUGGGGAUAAAGUUAGGGACGUGUCCCUAUUUGCAGGUACCAUACG